rnacentral:rRNA from 1 species
UAGAAAGUAUAGGGAGUUGAUCAUCUGUAUAUAUCUAAUCUGUGCUUUUAUCCUUUUUCAUCACACCAAGCUUACCGGUUCACACUUCAGGGAGUGCGCAAGACGCGCGGGUCUACAAUGCCCCGCCAGAGUAGUCUUAUUAACCAAGGUUAAUAGAUAGACAAGGUUGUGCCGUAACUAAGCUGCCGCGAUAGCGCUGUUGUCGUUCUGACGUCACAGGUUUCCACCGACUCGAUUUUGUAGUUCUUCGCAAGAUUAAUAACUUUGGUUCUUCGCUGUUUUUUUUUAUCGAUAUAUUGCAAACAGCUUAAAUCUCAGUAAAGAUAUUUAAUUAUAUUCGUAGCGAUAUAUAUCAAGCAAUAUUAAGUUUCAAUAAGGUAAGGCAAUAAAUUGAAAUUCGUAGUGUAAACCUACACUUUUCUCUGAAAUCAGAAGCUUAUUAAUUGGUUACUAUUUUUUAGAUGCCCGGGCAAAUUUGUGCAGUUGCAACCUGUACAACCAGUUUUUAUAAAUCGAAAAGGGAUGGAGAGGAAGUAGUAUUUUUCAGAUUUCCAAAAUCUUCUCUACAGGCAGAAUGGGUAAGAAGAUGUUUUAGAAGAGAUCCAUUUAAUGUAAAUACAGCAAGGAUUUGCAGCAAGCAUUUUUUACCUUCUGACUUUGAAGAUGAAAUUAAAGCUAAAAUUAUGAAAGUUGUUCCUAGGAAAUUGAAAGAAACAGGUAAUAAUCAGCUUUCUUAAAAAUAAUUGCUACUACAUCCUAAAAAUCUAUUAUUGAUAAUUAACUAUUAAUUUCAGCUUUGCCAACUAUCCACUUGAAGCCUGAUAUUAUGAACUCCCGUUUCUUAUCAGAAGUAUUCCCUAAAAAACAUCGGGUUCAGGGACAGUGCCUGGUGGGUAGUUUAACUGGGGCGGUUGCCUCCUAAAGAGUAACGGAGGCGCCCAAAGGUUCCCUCAGCCUGGUUGGCAAUCAGGUGUCGAGUGUAAGUGCACAAGGGAGCUUGACUGUGAGACGGACGUGUCGAGCAGGAGCGAAAGCUGGGACUAGUGACCCGGCCAUGGCUUGUGGAAGCGUGGUCGCUCAACGGAUAAAAGGUACCCCGGGGAUAACAGGCUGAUCUUCCCCAAGAGUCCAUAUCGACGGCAUGGUUUGGCACCUCGAUGUCGGCUCGUCGCAUCCUGGGGCUGGAGUCGGUCCCAAGGGUUGGGCUGUUCGCCCAUUAAAGCGGUACGCGAGCUGGGUUUAGAACGUCGUGAGACAGUUCGGUCCCUAUCCGCUGCGUGCGUAGGAAAUUUGUGGAGGGCUGUCCUUAGUACGAGAGGACCGGGACGGACGAACCUCUGGUGUGCCAGUUGUACCGCCAGGUGCAUGGCUGGUUGGCUACGUUCGGGAAGGAUAACCGCUGAAAGCAUCUAAGCGGGAAGCCUGCUCCGAGAUGAGAUUUCCAUCCCAUUAUUGGGGAGAGGUGCCCAGGAGAACACUGGGUUGAUAGGCCGGGAAUGGAAGCACUGUGAGGUGUGGAGUUGACUGGUACUAAUACGCCGAUCACUCAUAU